rnacentral:piRNA from 1 species
UUUCCUAAGUUCGGCGGGUCCCG